CCUACGGGAGGCAGCAGUAGGGAAUAUUGCUCAAUGGGGGAAACCCUGAAGCAGCAACGCCGCGUGGAGGAUGAAGGUUUUCGGAUUGUAAACUCCUUUUGUUAGAGAAGAUAAUGACGGUAUCUAACGAAUAAGCACCGGCGAACGCCGUGCCAGCAGCCGCGGUAAUACGGAGGGUGCAAGCGUUACUAGGAAUCACUGGGCGUAAAGAGGGCGUAGGCGGGAUAGCAAGUCAGAUGUGAAAUCCUAUGGCUUAACCAUCGAACUGCAUUUGAAACUGUUAUUCUAGAGUAUGGGAGAGGUAGGUGGAAUUCUUGGUGUAGGGGUAAAAUCCGUAGAGAUCAAGAGGAAUACUCAUUGCGAAGGCGACCUGCUAGAACAUAACUGACGCUGAUGCGCGAAAGCGUGGGGAGCAAACAGGAUUAGAUACCCCUGUAGUC
rnacentral:rRNA from 1 species